rnacentral:rRNA from 1 species
GACGAACGCUGGCGGCGUGCUUAACACAUGCAAGUCGAACGGAAAGGCCCUGCUUUUGUGGGGUGCUCGAGUGGCGAACGGGUGAGUAACACGUGAGUGACCUGCCCUUGACUUUGGGAUAACUUCAGGAAACUGGGGCUAAUACCGGAUAGGAGCUCCUGCUGCAUGGUGGGGGUUGGAAAGUUUCGGCGGUUGGGGAUGGACUCGCGGCUUAUCAGCUUGUUGGUGGGGUAGUGGCUUACCAAGGCUUUGACGGGUAGCCGGCCUGAGAGGGUGACCGGCCCCAUUGGAAUAGGGGAGGGACCAGGGCGCAUUCGGGAGCAAGGGGGGGGAAAUUUGGCAAACGGGGCGGAGGCUGGGUGGAGCACCGCCGGGUGGGGAAGGACGGCCUUCGGGUUGUAACCGGGUUUCGCCUGUACCGAGGCGGAGUGAAGGGAAAUGGGUAAGAAGCACCGGCUAACUACGUG